CUUUUUCCUUCUCUCUCUCUCUCCCUGUAUAAAAGCCGUCCUCUGAUUCCGCAAAAGAAGAGAGAUAGAAAAGAAGGGGAAGACGAGAAAGAGAAGAUGAAACUGUAAAGCCGAACAAGCAGGGUAUGUUACGUAUUCUCUGAGAGAGAGAGAGAGAGAGAGCCAAGAACAGUAGAGCCAGAAAGAAGAUAUGUUUCAGCGGAAAGAGCCGAGGAGUCUCCGUGAAAGAUCUGAAUCAUCUGAUCUCUUUGACGGUUUACCUGAUGACAUCGUCAUCUCUAUCCUCGCCAAGCUCAGUUUCUCCGCUUGUUCCCCUUCGGAUUUCGUCUCUGUUCUCUUAACAUGCAAAAGACUGAACCGUCUCGGUUUCCACCCUCUGGUUCUGUCCGUAGCCGGUCCGGAGGCACUCGCUAUCAGAGCCGGAAACUGGUCGCACCACGCUCACCGGUUCUUGCAACAGUGCGUUAACGCCGGCAACAUUGAAGCGCUCUAUACUCUCGGAAUGAUCCGAUUUUAUUGUCUACAAAAUCGAGGGAGCGGAUUGUCGUUGAUGGCGAAGGCGGCGAUUAGGUCACACGCGCCGGCGCUGUACUCCCUCGCCGUGAUUCAGUUCAACGGCAGCGGCCGCUCGAAGACCGGAAAAGACCUCCGAGCCGGCGUCGCCCUGUGCGCCAGAGCCGCCGACCUCGGCUACAACGACGCCCUGCGCGAGCUCGGCCACUGCCUCCAAGACGGUUACGGUGUGCGUCAAAACGUCGCCGGUGGCCGCCGGUUCCUCUUCCAGGCCAACGCCCGAGAGCUCGCGUGCCUCUUACGCGCCGUCGAACCGGCGGCGCAUCCCUCGCUGACGUGGCAGCCACAGGACGACUCUCAGCGUAGUGGAGCUCCGGAAGGCUCUCCUCCGGGUCUGGGCCUGAGCGUCGAGGUCCCUCUGCUGAGGUACUUCGGGUGCGACGUGUCGGCGCGUGUGGCCCACCCGGUGAACCGAUUCUUGCGGGAUUGGUUCGGGCUGCGGCCGGGCAACGAGGGGCUGAGGAUGUGCUCGCACUCGGGUUGCGGACGACCCGAGACCCGGCGGAGCGAGUUCCGGAGGUGCUCGGCGUGCGGGACGGCGAACUAUUGCUCGCGUGGGUGUCAGGCCCAGGAUUGGAAGCUGCGCCACAAGGCCGAGUGUACGCCCAUGAACGAGUGGUUUAAUCGAGACGGUGGUGAUGAUGGUGCCGACGCUGAUGAUAAUCCAAUGGCCGUGAUUGAAGAAGCGGCCUUUGGUGGGGCCGACGGGUGAUCCAUGAAUAUGACUGUGACUAUGGGCAAGGUGGCACGUGAGGGGGGGGAGGUUGAGGUGGGCAGGUCACGCAAGGCAAGCCCCUCUCAUCAACUACAGCCAACGCCUAUGUGGCCGCGGCCGCGGCCGCACUUCUCGCACGCUCCACCUUCCAGUGAAAGGUGGUCGGUAAUGACAUUAGGUUAGAGACAACAAUGAAUUCUCCAUAAAAGAGGUGACCAGAGAAGGAGAUGGGAAAAGAUCAGAAGGAAGUGGCAACGACGCAAACCAAAUAAGGGGAUGAUGAACGGGUUGGCCAUGAAAGAGGCAACCGAGAUAGGAGAUGAUGAGAGUGUAAAUAUCACAAUUGUGUAAGGACAAUUUUGUAAUUUAUUUUGUCAACGCAAUAAGUUGUUAAGAGCUUAUUUGGAGAAGUUAGGAAAGAGAUUUUGAAAAAUGCUAUUAAAUUAACUUAAAAACUAGAUGGCAUUUAAGUUCGUAAAUGCUACUAAAUGCACAACAAAAAAAAAAGUUACAUUAACUUAUAAGUUAUUUCACUGGUAAGCCAAACACCCUCAAAGUUAUUUUAGGAAAAAAAUAAUAGAAUGAACCAAUAAUAAUAUAAAUAUUGUUAGACCAAAUUGAAAUAUGUCACACGUUUGGCAUGAUGGCUGAGGGAUGAUAUUUUUCAUAUUAUUUUAUUUUUAAGGGUAUGAAUUUAUUAAUUUUUGAUUAAUUUAU